CCUUCUUGAAUGCCCUGUGCAGAAACCCUGCUUGGUGAUGAGAGAUUGUCUUGAUGCUGGUCCACUGACUGCAUUCCAUACCCUCCUUGUUAGUGACCCUGCCUUGCCAUUUCAGGAAUAACACAGAAAGCUACAGAAGGUGCAGAAAAGGGCAACCAAGAAGAUCCGUGGGGUUGGACUCACUCAUUAAAUGAGACAGGAGUCACUAUACCCAGAAUGAGAUGCUAAAAGAGCCAUUCACCAAUCAAGGCAUUCAAGAGGAAUAAAGAAGACAUGAAAUCUGUCCAGAA